rnacentral:misc_RNA from 1 species
GAUGAAGAACGUAGCGAAAUGCGAUAAGUAGUGUGAAUUGCAGAAUUCAGUGAAUCAUCGAAUCUUUGAACGCACAUUGCGCCCCUUGGUAUCCCGAGGGGCAUGCCUGUUCGAGCGUCAUUUCACCACUCAAGCCUGGCUUGGUGUUGGGCGACGUCCCCUUUAGGGACGCGCCUUAAAACGCUCGGCGGCGUGGCACCGGCUUUAAGCGUAGCAGAAUCUUUCGCUUUGGAAGUCGGGGCCCCGCCUGCCGGAAUACCUACUCGUAAGGUUGACCUCGGAUCAGGCAGGGAUACCCGCUGAACUUAAGCAUAUCAAUAAGCGGAGGA